rnacentral:tRNA from 2 species
GGUUCUAUGGUGUAGUGGUUAGCACAUCUGCCUUACACGCAGAAGAUCCUGGGUUCGAUUCCCAGUGGAACCA